CAGCGAAGGUGAUCAAGAAAGAUUGUGAUGCAUCAAGAAGUUUCGAGAUGAAAGCAGUUGGCUACUUCAAAAGGAAGAAGCUAAUUUGGCAUCCCCUAAUUACUGCAUACACUCCUGUACUAGAUGAGACACAUAGGAGCACACUGAACUGAGAACAGAGCAAUAGCAAUUGGCAGAGUUUCCUGUGGUCAGAGUAGUCAAACAGCGCUGGAUUGGAAGAAGGUGAUCUGCUCGAGAAUGUGGUUAACAAGCGUGAGAAAAGAUAUGCUUUGUUUGGAUCUUCCAGAAUAGGCAUAAAUCUAGCGCACCUCUUUUUUCUAAGAACAGGAAACAAACUCGUGCUGGUUUCUAGACCGGAUAUUGUACUAAAGUAGCCGAGCAAGUAGCAUGGCAAGGGAGUCUUUGAGCAUGGCACUGUUAUCGUCAGCGGCUAUGUGCCUUGCUGCAUUCAGAUCUAUUGCCUUUAGCGCCUAUCAGCAUGUUCCCUUGAGCCCCAGGUCUAAGGAUUGUUUAUGGUGGUACCUAUAUGAUAAAUAAGCCAGAGUGUCAGGUAGUUCUUAUCCCUUAUGUGAUAAUCAUGCAUGCCAGUGUAUGGUGUUACAUCAGACGCUGAAACUGCUAAAUGCAAGAAGGUUGUUUGUCAUCCCUCUUUACUUGCCCAACAGGUAAGGAAGAUUGGAAAGUUGCAUUUUCAACUGCCAUUAUGAAGCCUUGUGAUAAGACAAGGCAUCGUUCCUGUCCCGGUCUUUGCUCCUUCUUUUUUGAUAGGAUUUGAAGCUUCCUCUAGCUAAAUCGAUUCAUGCUGGUCUUUUUCUGUUACAUAUGGCACUGUGAGUGAUCGAAUGUUGUGGUCUUUUUGUCUGCAUCCAAAUAUAGCAGCACAAUAUACAUGUAAGUAAUGUAAUUGGCCAUGUUGCCAAGAAAUCGGAACUACCGUAUUUUUUGUUAUCUCGAAUCAUGUGAUCCUUCUUAGAUGUGCUAGCAAAUCCUAAAAGAUUUCAGUGAGGUUACUGCAACUUUUGAUGCAUUAGAUAAAUCAAAUGAGACAAAGUGCCACCAAAUUAAGGAUGCAUGUAUGUAAAUAUGCAGGCAGUUCAAAGCAGACACAUAGCAGCAUGUUUCACUAGCUAUCAACAUUCAUUGGAAAAUAUAAAUUACUCCAGUUUGUAUUUGACAUAUAUACCGAAGAAUCUAUAUAUUUUAAUAGAUAUGGCAUGAUGAUGUAUGGUGAUCUUGGUAUAUGCAAGUAUGAUAAGUACCACUUGGUGUGGCCUGUGCGCA